CCCUAAUGUCAUGGCUAAGGUUCUGCAGGUCAGCGGCUCUCCUUGAGCUGUCGAGGAGUCUGAUUUAACAAGGGUGGAAAGCAGGGAACAUUCGGCACACUUCGCCAGCAUGCAGGCCUGCCUUGGUGGGGUGGAAAAGAAGAACACAACACACCCACCAGCACUGGAGUGCAAAGACCAGAAUCAACCCAAGGAAACCAGCAGCCGAGCCGGGGCAGUUUCAGUGUCCACCCCAAAGGCAGGGCUGUAGCAGUGGCCAGGAAGAAAACCGCCCCCUCUGAAAGCUGUUUUUGUGACUGUUCUUUGGAGCAUUGUUCUAAAAAUGGGAAAUUACAUCUUUCUGUGCCAAAGGAAACAAACACCUGCAGUUAAAAGAAUACCUUCCACGAGGUGGCUUCAAGAGCCCCAGCCCGUUUUGGACGCAGGGCUGCUGCAGGAGUUCCACUUGGUGCGUUUCUUCACUUCUAAGGGGAUGGGGUGUGGGCUAACAUUUGUAACCAGGGUGGGCUUUGGCAACUACGGGGCCCUGGUGGUUGUCUUACUCAUUCAUUGAAUAAACAUCUAUCGAGCAU